rnacentral:rRNA from 1 species
AUUGAACGCUGGCGGCAUGCCUUACACAUGCAAGUCGAACGGUAACGGGCCUUCGGGUGCCGACGAGUGGCGAACGGGUGAGUAAUACAUCGGAACGUGCCCGAUCGUGGGGGAUAACGAGGCGAAAGCUUUGCUAAUACCGCAUACGAUCUACGGAUGAAAGCAGGGGACCGCAAGGCCUUGCGCGGACGGAGCGGCCGAUGGCAGAUUAGGUAGUUGGUGGGAUAAAAGCUUACCAAGCCGACGAUCUGUAGCUGGUCUGAGAGGAUGAUCAGCCACACUGGGACUGAGACACGGCCCAGACUCCUACGGGAGGCAGCAGUGGGGAAUUUUGGACAAUGGGCGCAAGCCUGAUCCAGCCAUGCCGCGUGAAGGAUGAAGGCCUUCGGGUUGUAAACUGCUUUUGUACGGAACGAAAAGCCUUCUUUUAAUACAGGAGGGUCAUGACGGUACCGUAAGAAUAAGCACCGGCUAACUACGUG